UGGACCUCUCCUGAAGAUUGUGGCCACAAGACAAGGAGGAGAGCAUUGGGGUUGACAGUGCCGAAUCAAAAGAAUGCUCCAUCCCCGGUUUGGAUUCCUGAGCACUGGGUGCGCCCUAUUGCUGUUGACAAAGGUCCAGACUCAAGAAAUCUUCUGGGCAUUGGUAAAGGCACUGCUGAUAGUAAUGCCUGUGGGUCUGCAUGCCCCAGUUUAGCUGAUGAUGAUAACAACAAACUGGACCACCAGAGGGACGGUCUCUCAAUUGUUCUUCCAGAUCCUGCAAAUUGACAAAUUGCUGGGGAGCUAAAGACUCCAUGGUGUUCGUGCAAGUUCCAGGAGUGAUUCCAUUGUCAGUGAAUGCCAGCAUGAGGUUUCCCCUAACCUUCUAUCAAGAAAAAGAUUUCGAGAUUGCCCUUGCUAUUGUGACCACUGUUGCCGCGGCCACAACUACUGUUGCAGUUGCUAGUGUAGCCCUGAGACAGACAACUGCUGUUGCUGCCACCUUGGAUUGGCUUUCUGGAGAGGUUGCCUCAGCUCUGUCACUUCAAUGCUAUUGAUGGACAUAUACAACUUGGACUUUUACAAGAACAAUUGGAUUAUGUUUGGGAGGUUCAUGGAAGUGGCCCACUCUUUUGGAUGUUGUGCCAUUUAUUGUUGCUCCUCAUGAAGUGGUAAAAUUAUCUUGUGAUGUGGGACACCUGACUGCCUGUCUUGGAAGGACUUUGUAAACUUCAUGCAUGUCAUCUAUAAAACAAAAAAGGGGAAGAAGUUGGGACCCAGCCCCCACGGGGUCUCUGUGAGUUGUUUUCCAGCAUAACCACAGACUCUCGCCUGGUCUGGUUCUUCAGGCAUGGGUGCUGGCGCUGGAGCCUGUGACAAGUAUCCAUUCUCCUACCUGCUAUACAAGUUGCCUUGCACUAAUUAUGAAACUUCCACUUGCUUCAAUUUCCACAAUCAAGAAAUGGGAACAAUAGUGCCAGGAAGAUGGAUUUGUUGGUAGAAAAUAGAAGACUACAUGUGCAUCAACCAGUAAGUGAUAGUUGUCAUUAUUAUGGAAAUGAGGCAUUGUCUUG